rnacentral:rRNA from 1 species
GAAGGCCUUCGGGUUGUAAAGCACUUUUGUCCGGAAAGAAAUCCUUGGCUCUAAUACAGUCGGGGGAUGACGGUACCGGAAGAAUAAGCACCGGCUAACUACGUGCCAGCAGCCGCGGUAAUACGUAGGGUGCGAGCGUUAAUCGGAAUUACUGGGCGUAAAGCGUGCGCAGGCGGUUUGCUAAGACCGAUGUGAAAUCCCCGGGCUCAACCUGGGAACUGCAUUGGUGACUGGCAGGCUAGAGUAUGGCAGAGGGGGGUAGAAUUCCACGUGUAGCAGUGAAAUGCGUAGAGAUGUGGAGGAAUACCGAUGGCGAAGGCAGCCCCCUGGGCCAAUACUGACGCUCAGGCACGAUAGCGUGGGGAGCAAACAGGAUUAGAUACCCUGGUAGUCCACGCCCUAAACGAUGUCAACUAGUUGUUGGGGAUUCAUUUCCUUAGUAACGUAGCUAACGCGUGAAGUUGACCGCCUGGGGAGUACGGUCGCAAGAUUAAAACUCAAAGGAAUUGACGGGGACCCGCACCAGCGGUGGAUGAUGUGGAUUAAUUCGAUGCAACGCGAAAAACCUUACCUACCCUUGACAUGGUCGGAAUCCCGCUGAGAGGUGGGAG